rnacentral:rRNA from 1 species
AGAACGAACGCUGGCGGCAGGCUUAACACAUGCAAGUCGAACGCUCCUAGCAAUAGGGGAGUGGCAGACGGGUGAGUAACGCGUGGGAACAUACCCUCCGGUUCGGAAUAACUCAGGGAAACUUGAGCUAAUACCGGAUACGGCCUUUAGUCGAAGGAUUGGCGGCGAAAGAUUUAUCGCCGGAGGAUUGGCCCGCGUCCGAUUAGCUAGUUGGUGUGGUAAUGGCGCACCAAGGCGACGAUCGGUAGCUGGUCUGAGAGGAUGAUCAGCCACAUUGGGACUGAGACACGGCCCAAACUCCUACGGGAGGCAGCAGUGGGGAAUAUUGGACAAUGGGCGCAAGCCUGAUCCAGCCAUGCCGCGUGAGUGAUGACGGCCUUAGGGUUGUAAAGCUCUUUCGCUCGGGACGAUAAUGACGGUACCGAGAUAAGAAGCCCCGGCUAACUUCGUGCCAGCAGCCGC